UCUACGGGGAGCAGCAGUGGGGAAUAUUGGACAAUGGGCGAAAGCCUGAUCCAGCCAUGCCGCGUGUGUGAAGAAGGCCUUCGGGUUGUAAAGCACUUUCAGUGGGGAAGAAAGCCUUGGGGCUAAUACCCUCGAGGAAGGACAUCACCCACAGAAGAAGCACCGGCUAACUCCGUGCCAGCAGCCGCGGUAAUACGGAGGGUGCGAGCGUUAAUCGGAAUUACUGGGCGUAAAGCGCGCGUAGGCGGUCUGAUAAGCCGGUUGUGAAAGCCCCGGGCUCAACCUGGGAACGGCAUCCGGAACUGUCAGGCUAGAGUGCAGGAGAGGAAGGUAGAAUUCCCGGUGUAGCGGUGAAAUGCGUAGAGAUCGGGAGGAAUACCAGUGGCGAAGGCGGCCUUCUGGACUGACACUGACGCUGAGGUGCGAAAGCGUGGGUAGCAAACAGGAUUAGAUACCCCGGUAGUC
rnacentral:rRNA from 1 species